GAUAAACGCUGGCGGCGUGCAUGAGACAUGCAAGUCGAACGAACGAGCUUGCUCGUUAGUGGCGGACGGCUGAGUAACGCGUAGGUGACCUGCCCCGAAGUGGGGGAUAACUGCCCGCAAGGGUGGCUAAUACCGCAUGUGGCGACGCUCUCAUUGGCGUCAUCAAAGCCGCGAGGCGCUUCGGGAGGGGCCUGCGUCCGAUUAGCUCGUUGGUGGGGUAAUGGCUCACCAAGGCGACGAUCGGUAGGUGGUCUGAGAGGACGAUCACCCAGACUGGGACUGAGACACGGCCCAGACUCCUACGGGAGGCAGCAGUCGGGAAUUUUGCUCAAUGGGCGCAAGCCUGAAGCAGCAACGCCGCGUGCGGGAUGAAGGCCUUCGGGUUGUAAACCGCUUUUACCAGGGACGAUAAUGACGGUACCUGAUGAAUAAGUCACGGCUAACUACGUGCCAGCCGCCGCGGUAAUAC
rnacentral:rRNA from 1 species